rnacentral:misc_RNA from 1 species
AUAUGACGGAAGGUUGGUCCAAUCAACUAUCAUUAUGGGAAUGUUGUCAAAAAAACCACACAGUUUGUUUGAAUCUAUGAUUACUUUCUUACUUGGUCGCCUAUUGUGGAGAAAAGGCUUGCCCCAAGGCGGCAUUUGCUUUGCUGCCACCCUCAAUUGCAUUUUUGCUUCUCGAGGAAAGAUUGCUAAAACAUAAGAAUAAAACAGUUGGAGAAGCAUUAUCAAUGGAUAAACACAGAAGCGGGACCACCGGGACUGGAUAACUUUAUAUAUAGCACGACCUUCCCAUUUCACAACACCUCAUGUGCAAAUCCAAUUAAUUAUCUUUUUCUCCUUUGCCAAUUCUCUUAAGCAUUCUAUAACAAGUAUAAUUUAUAGCCAACUGUUGACUUCAUCCCAUAAUGUUGCUGGGAUGCCUCUGUAUUCCAGAAUAUGCCCUUGUUGCUUGGGAAAUCGUCAACGUUAAGGGCACUCAAAAGUGGAAUUUAAUUCUUGUACUCAAUGAGAACCUCUUCCUUGUUGCGUAUAUCUAAAUCAGAAGCCUCAUGGAAGUUGUAUAUAUAACUCAUUUCUAACGGGCUCAUUUCAUUUGUCAAUUAUCCUUCUCUCAAUUGUUUUUCGGGUGAUGCUGGAGGAAGAAAAAUCGAACUGAUAAGCAAAGAACUGAGGAUGGAUGGUAGUGGAGGUUUUCUGAGAUGGUCUUCGUUUGCAUUUGUAAUGUUCGUGGGUAUGGCCACCGUUUUAGUUCCUGGAGCUCUUGGCUGGAGCAAGGAGGGUCACAUAAUGACAUGUCGGAUUGCAC